AAAAUAUAUUUGAAGUCUGUAGUGGAAAAGCGUCUGGUUGAAAGAGAGUGUGAUGUUUCCCAGCACAAAAAGAACGUGCAUAGGGAAUUGUGGGAUGUUAUGAUGGCCAUGUUAAUGUUAGAGAAUUGUUAUAUAAGCUCUUGUGAAAUAUUGGUGGAUAGAGGGUGUGUUCGGUUAGACCAUAUGAUCGACAGGUAUAGAUAAGGAGGAGCAUUUAUAGAGGUUUGUCCAGACUUUUGAAAAGUCAACAUGAGGAUAGGAGUAGUGUGAUGGUUUUCCAACAGAAAGGAUUUCAGUUUUAUCAUGGUUUAGUUUGGAGCCAGAUAUAGAGCCAAAUGUUUUGAAUUGUUCGAGGAGGGUGCUGUAUGAAGAAAGUCUAGAUAUUAUAGCAGAACAGUCAUCUGCAUGCUGAAAUAACUUAAUCUCUGAAGGGUGGUUAGGGAUCCUGAUGCCUUUUAUGAGGAUGUUUUUGUUUAUGUAUGAAGCAAGGGGGUUGAUACACAAUGAGUAUAGAAUCAUGGAUAGUGGACAUCCUUGACGAAUCGAUCGGUUAAUUUUAAUAUUUUGGGAAAAGGAUCCAUUUACUUGGACUUUACUAAUCAAGUUUUUAAACAUUAUUGUAACCCAGUUAAGGAUGUAAUUUGGGAAAUUAAUAUGUUUAAGUAGAUUUAUGAUAUAGUUGUGUUCAAUGCGAUCGAAGGCUUUUUCUUGGUCAAAUGAUAAUAUAUAGGCACUGGACUCAUUUGUGUUUAUAUAAUUUAGUAUUGUAUCUAUUGAAUAUAGGUUAUCAAAAAUGCUUUUAUUUGGUCCAGCUCCUGUUUGUGUAUUAGAGAUUAAUUUGUUAAUAACAGAAUUUAUUCUUGUGCUUAGAAUUUUUGUUAUGAUUUUAUAGUCCACACAUAACAGGCUUAUCGGUCUAUAGUUCUUGAGUAAUCGAUGGUCGCCUUUAUUCUUGUAGUUAAUUGUUAUGAUACCAGUUCUCAUUGUGUUAGAUAAUUCCCCCUGUAGAUAGAUGUUGUUUAAUACUUCUGUUAAAUCGUUUCCUAUAAUGUCAAAGAAUUUUAUGUAGAAAUCUCCUGGAAUACCAUCUAUACCCGGGCUACGGUUUGUUCUAAAUUUUUGAAACGCCUUAAGGACUUCAUCUCUAGAUAUAAAAUGUGAUAUUGAAUCUCUUUCCGUGUUUGUUAGUGUGUUUAUGUCACUGUUUUCGAUAUAGGACUUCAUUAAGUUAUCAUUAAUAUUUUGAGAAGUAUAUAUAGUUGUUGGUAGAAUUGGUGAAUUGUGUCUAAUAUAUCUUGUUUAUUGUCACAGAUUGUAUUAUUUUGAUUGAUCAGUUGUUUAAUUUGUUUUUUUGCACCCUUUUUAACUUCUGCUAAUUUAUAUAUUUUAGAAUUAGUAGAUACAUCAAUUUGGGGUAUUUCUAAUUUUGAACGUAUAACGUAGCCUUGUUUGGUAUUAUAUUCUAUAAGCUCAAUUUUUGAUUUAAUCUCGUUUAUAGAGUUAUUCUUACUAGGUAUUUCAUUUUCUAGGGAUUCCAGUUGUUGAUAAAGGUUACUGAGGAUAUGUUUGUUCUCAACUGCUAAGGCUUGACAGUAAUUUUGUGUAAUAUUUCUAAUAGCGGCUUUACCUUUUUCCCACCAUUGUAUGUUGUCAAUGAUUUGGUAUUUUUUGUUUUGCCAACUUGACCAGAAGGUUUUAAUUUGAAUUUGGUAGUUUUUAUCAUCUAGAAUAGAAUUGUUAAGUUUCCAAUAUCAUUUACCCCAUUUAAGAUUGUUAAGGUUGAUAUUUAGUUCCACUGCUUUAUGGUCAGUGAAAUGAAGUGGUAUAUGUUUAAUUGAUUUGAUGUAAGUUGCAUAUUUAUUACUUAUGUAAAUGCGGUCUAAUCUGCUAGCAUGUCCUUGUGAGUUGUGAUAGGUAAAAAGGGGAGUGUCAGGGGAGAUAAUUCUGUAACCAUCACUUAUAUUAAGUAGAUUUUGUAUAUCAAGUACAGGGCUGGCCACGAAUAAAUUGAUGGUUACAACUAUAUAUAAAAAUUGCUCACGCAAACUAUGUGAGCACACAUUUUGUAACAUUGUUUCAAUUUAAAAUCAUAAGAGAAUUACUAUUCCUGGCACAAAGUUUGCAGUAAACAUGUGUGACCAUCGCUUUCUGUUUUUGACAGUCAUACGUACUCUUCUUUAUUAAAACCAAUUUCCGUAUGGAUUUCUUCACCCCACGAAAUAAAUGUGGAUAGGGCAAUCAGGUUGCCUUUGGCCAUUAUUACGCUUAGAUUGAAAAUUAUACGACUGCACAAUGGAAUAAAAACCGAAGUUCUGAUAAAAUAGGAAAUACCGAUAAAUAUUAGUUUGAAACGUGUUCAUUUAGCGUGAAUGCCUAAUGCCGGAUGUAAACAUUCUUUACUUUAGACUCGAUUAUCACGCGUUCGUUACUGGUGUUCGUAGGAAAACCAGUCAUAACGUUCAGGUCUAAAGUGUAUUUUUAGUAACAAGAGUGCUGAGUAACUUUUUAGCCAAUCAAAUUUAAGGAGGAAAAGCCGCGUGCAGCUGGGUGAAUCUCAGUUUGACAGACGAAUUUAUGAAGUUAUUGACAUUGUUGGUUUAGUUUCGGCAAUAAACUUGUCAAUAUUUUGAUUAUUUUUACAGGGUUUUCUUAAAAUUUUGCGCGAGCAACGAACCGCUCGCGUAAAUGUAGAUUUGCGCGAGCACAGCGCGAGCGCGAGCAACUGCUCGCGUCUCGUGGCAAGCCCUGAAGUAGAUAUCUUAUAGCAUCUUUUGGAUGGCUAUUCAUGUUGCCAUGUUUGUUAUCUUUACUGUUUUCAAUAAGGUUAAAAUCACCAGUAAUAAUAUAAGAAUGUUGUGGAUUAUGAAUAGUUUUGACAUAUUCAAGAAGUCUCUUGUAGUAAUAAGUUUUCAAUUCUCUCUUGCAGGGACCAUAUAUAUUGAAUAUUUGAAUAGUUUCAUUAUUUGCAUUUACCUCCAGAUGUUGGAGCCUACCUGCUAAUUCAUCAGGUGUUUUGUAGAGUUUAUGUAUAAUGUUUGGGCUUAAUAAUAGGGCAAUGCCAAUCUUUGUUUCAUUAUAUGCAGUGUAUAAGUUAUAGCCAGUUUCGUUUUCAACAUUUUUUAUUUGAUGGACAUUGGAUUUUAGAAUUUCUUGUAUACAAACAAUAUCUAGUUUGUUAAAUAUAUUGCUAAUUUGUUUAAUCUUUUGAAGAUUUCCUUGUAGAGCGUUUAUGGAGUAAAUUAACAUAAUAAUUAGGUAAAUAAUAGGGAUAGAAGGCUUCAUUGUUAACUAAUAUGGUUUCAAGAACUUAUAACGUCUUAAUUUGUUUGAUCUCUAAACUUCUGUUUCGGUAAGCGGGGAUUCCGCUCGCGCCCUUUUAUCAUCUAUUUCUGUUUCGGAUAAACUAUCAAGGCUUCUUUCCCUUUUACUUACUGUGUCACACUUAGUGACUGUAGAGUUAUUUAACAAUGAGACAUCAGCGUCAUAGUUAAGAUUUGACUGCGAUGUUUCAGGGAUAUCAUGGGAUGAGUUGUCAAUGAUACUGUUAUCCUCUAAAUAACUUUGACCCACUGAGGAUCCUGUGUUAAUGGGGGUGGAAGAAACAUGACCACUAGAUGUAUCAAUAAUAGACUUAUUAACAUCAUUGAUAAAAUGGCUAUCAGGGCUGAGGAUAACAUUUGUUGUAUCGGUAGUGAUAGGAAUGUCAUUGUUGACUACUGUUGUUUUUAUGGAGUCUAGAGUAGCUAAGUCCUGGUUUAGACUUCCUGGGUUUGACAUUUGUUUUUGUCGUAUUAUUUUUGAGGGGAUAAUAUUAUUGACACCAGGGUUAUUGUCUUCACUAGGGUCAUAACCUAAGACAUGGUUAUUGAUAUUUAGGUGCUCAUGAUUAGGUUCAUAAAUAUCAUCAAUAUUAUGGGUGGGUUCAGUGGCUAUAUCAGCAGAUACUAUAGCACUGUUUGGACUAGUUUGGGGUUGAAGGGCAGGAAAUUCCAUUUGAUCAUCAGGAUUUGGUGCAUUGGGGUUGGUUGGCAGACUAUAUCUUUUGUCUGGUUUUGUACAUUCACGGCCAAGAUGCCCAUGCAGGCCGCAGUUGUAACAAAUUUUGCCCCUAGUUUGGCCCUCAUAUUUAAUGGAUACAUGUAUCCCUUUUAUAUAAAUGUGCGAUGGAAUAGGUUUAAACAUUUUUUUUACAUAAACAAUUCUAACACCGCUUUCCCGUUGGAAAUGGUUUGAAGCAGGAUCUGUCAUAUUUAACCAAUUCACAAUAGUUCGUCAAUUUGUUAACCAGAUAAUUAUUGUCCAUUUCGAAUGGUAGGCCGAAGACCGCAACAGGAAUUGAAUCAACAGGGUAGUCCCAUGUGAUGUUUCCAGCCGACUCUACUGUAUAAUUGCAAUUCUUCACUGAGAAGGUCUUGAGAUUCUCAAGAAAUAACUCCUUGGCAAGUAUAUCCUUAAGAGUUAGGCAAAACUUGCCCUUACCUACAUUUUGGAGACAUUUUAUAUUGCUGAUGUCAAAAUCCUUAGCUUGUAGGAAAUAUAAUAUGUCUACUGAGGCAAUACCAGUGGAGGGGUUAUCAUCGUCGGGAAUCAGUUCAACAGUAUUGUCACGAAUUAUACGGUUUGUUACACUCAUCUCCCCAUUAGGGUUAAUUGUCAUCUUUGUCGAUUUUAUGUAACUCAUUGUCAAUAAAACACUUCAACAGCU